rnacentral:rRNA from 1 species
CAAUAGCGUAUAUUAAAGUUGUUGCGGUUAAAACGCUCGUAGUUUGAAAUCUGUUAAGGACGAUCUGUCUGCCCUCUGGGUGUGUAUUUGGUCUAGCCUUGGCAUUUCCUUGAACAAGACAACUGCACUUGAUUGUGUGGUGUUGAUUUCAAGGUGUUUACUUUGAGGAAAUCAGAGUGCUUCCAGCAGGUGUGCGCCUUGAAUACAUUAGCAUGGAAUAUCAUUAUAUGGUUUGGAUUUUUACUUGUUGGUUUUUAAAAUUGAAGCAAUGAUAAAUAGGGAUAAUUGGGGGCACUUGUAUUUAAUUGUCAGAGGUGAAAUUCUUGGAUUUGUGAAAGACAAACUACUGCGAAAGCAUUUGCCAAAAAUGUUUNCAUUG